GUUUGAUUCUGGCUCAGGAUGAACGCUGGCGGCAUGCCUAAUACAUGCAAGUCGAACGGAGUGAAGCCUUCGGGUUUCAUUCAGUGGCGAACGGGUGAGUAAUACGCAGGGAACCUGGCCAUGGCAGGGGGAUACACUCUGGAAACGGAGCAUAAGACCCCAUAGGCAGUAAGGCGGCAUCGCCUUACUGUUAAAGAAAGCUGAAAGGCUUUGGCGAUGGAUGGACCUGCGGUGCAUUAGCUUGUUGGUGAGGCAACGGCUUACCAAGGCGAUGAUGCAUAGCCGGCCUGAGAGGGCGGACGGCCACACUGGGACUGAGACACGGCCCAGACUCCUGCGGGAGGCAGCAGUAGGGAAUUUUCGUCAAUGGGCGCAAGCCUGAACGAGCAAUGCCGCGUGAGUGAGGAAGGUCUUCGGACUGUAAAGCUCUGUUGCCGGGGAAAAAGGGGAAAUGCAGGAAAUGGCAUUUCAUGGAUGGUACCCGGCCAGAAAGCCACGGCUAACUACGUGCCAGCAGCCGCGGUAAUACGUAGGUGGCGAGCGUUAUCCGGAAUGAUUGGGCGUAAAGGGUGCGCAGGCGGUCUGUUAAGUCUGAAGGCAAAGGGAUGAGCUCAACUCAUUUAUGAUUCAGAAACUGGCAGACUUGAGGACAGGAGAGGGCGGUGGAACUCCAUGUGUAGCGGUAAAAUGCGCAGAGAUAUGGAAGAACACCAGUGGCGAAGGCGGCCGCCUGGCCUGUGACUGACGCUGAGGCACGAAAGCGUGGGGAGCAAAUAGGAUUAGAUACCCUAGUAGUCCACGCCGUAAACGAUGAGGAGCAGGUGUUGGGAGUGAAAUCUCAGUGCCGAAGCCAACGCAGUGACUCCUCCGCCUGGGGAGUAUGCACGCAAGUGUGAAACUCAAAGGAAUUGACGGGGGCCCGCACAAGCGGUGGAGUAUGUGGUUUAAUUCGAAGCAACGCGAAGAACCUUACCAGGUUUUGACAUCGGAUGCGAAGGCGCAGAGAUGCGCUGGAGGCUAUCAUCCAGACAGGUGGUGCAUGGUUGUCGUCAGCUCGUGUCGUGAGAUGUUCAGUUAAGUCUGGCAACGAGCGCAACCCCCGUGGUAUGUUACUAACGCAUUUGGGCGAGGACUCAUAUCAGACUGCCGGUGACAAACCGGAGGAAGGCGGGGAUGACGUCAAAUCAUCAUGCCCCUUAUGACCUGGGCUACACACGUACUACAAUGGCGUCUACAGAGGGAAGCGACCCUGAGAAGGGAAGCGAAACCGGAAAAGGGCGUCCCAGUUCGGAUUGAAGUCUGCAACCCGACUUCAUGAAGAUGGAAUCGCUAGUAAUCGCGGAUCAGCAUGCCGCGGUGAAUACGUUCCCGGGCCUUGUACACACCGCCCGUCAAACCAUGGAAGCCGGCAACGCCCGAAGCCGGUGGCAUAACCUUUUAGGAGUGAGCCGUCGAAGGCGGGGCCGAUGACUGGGGUUAAGUCGUAACAAGGUAACC
rnacentral:rRNA from 1 species